AAAGAAAUUCCACACUGGAAUUUCAGCAGCCAAAGAAUUAAGAAGUAUCACCAGUCUGUGCCAUUCAGUUGCUAGGCAAAAUACAUUUGGUCUGAUUUCAUGACAUCAGUUUUAUUCCAGUCUGAAUUUGCUGGUGUUGGUGGAGAGUUGUGUCAGAAUGAACGCAGCCUCACUGAAUGGACAGUCUUGUUCAUUUUUCACAUAGCAUUUAAGUUCCCCAAUUCAAAAACCCAAACUGCAGCUCACUUACUGAAUCAGCAGAAGAAGAGUAUAAAUGAGGUAUAGGUUAGUCUGUCAUACUUGGGCAUUUUGGUUAGACAUUUAACUUAAUCUGUAUAUGCCUAAUAAAGGGUUCAUGUUCUUACUGCCUCUGAUAAGCUCAGCAGGUGCCUCAGCUACUUCAUUCCUGCCUUGUCUGGCUAUGGUGACUUGUUCUCCAACACAUAAUUUUGCUCCUUUGCGUCUUCCUUUGCUGCGUUCGUCAUUGCUAUGCAUCUUUAUUACAAGAAAAAAAUAUUAAAAAAUGCAGGUGUUGCUGGAUGGAUACACAGUGCCUGAUUUUCUGAGGGGCUGUGAGCCUGCAAUGCUUAUAGAUUUCCGUAGGAAUUGAGCAGAAUGGGACACAUUUGAAAAUCAGACCCGUGUGUAAUAUUUCUGUAAUUACAGUUUCGUGCAGCUGUAGUUCCUGUUAACAGCAAAACAUCCCAGGUUACUGUAUAUUGCUAUCCCAAAUAGCCAGCGCCUCGCUGAGCAAGGCUGGCAGGGUAUAACCAGGACAAUAUGAUUCCUAUGUGUCUUUAUCAAUUUUGUAGUUUUACUUUUUUUUGCUAGACUAUGUGGAUGGCAAAUUUCAAGGACUUUUCCUUUUCAACUGUUGAGGUUUUGAAGGCAAAAGAAAUUGUAUCUUUCCUGAUCUUCUCCACCAGAAUUUCAACAUGUAUUUUCUCGUGCACUGAUAAGUCCUCAGGCACCUCUCCUGAUCACCAUGACCUUUCAAAGAUAAUCAAGAGUGGCUUUGCAAUGACAUCAGCCAGCUUCCUCAGCACUUGUGGGUGCAUCCCAUCAGGUUCCAUGGGACUGUGUGUAUCCAGUUUGUUUAAGUGUUCCCUAGCCUGAUUCUCUUCCUCUGAGGGUAUGACAUACAGCAGAGAUCCUCUCCUCCUUGGCUCCUCAGUCACCUAUUGAAGUGAGGAAGUUGUCAUCAAUGCACAAAUCAAGUUAUCAUCAUCACUAGGACCUCCGGGUGGCUUGUGAGUGAUCCAGAAGCCUGUGGGCAGAGAAGACAAGGCUACAGCUUCUGUACUGUGCAGUGCUUCCCAGUGGUCAUAUUGGAUGCCUUGGCUGUUAAUAGCUGUUAUAAUCAAGAGGAGCACAUUAUUUUGGCUGCUGUAAAUUAUGUUGGGGAACACAUGGUGAAAAAUGUGCCCCUUCUUCCUUAUCCAAAUUGAUCUCACUUCAGAGAGAGAACGUGUUCCAACUGUGGCAUUUUAUUCAACCUUUUCUUUAGCUAUUUUAGGUAACAUCUCAAAGUGUUGCCUCCCAGUCUUUUUUUCACAAAGGUGUAAACUUGCAUUUGGCUGUAGCUUUCUUUUUAAACCAAUACUUUAAACAAAUCUAGUUCUGGAGCUGCAUAAAUUUGUCUGCAUAUCUGACCUGACCCCUGUGCUAUUUAGUACUCAGCUCAUUUUUGAGUCUUCUGCAAAUGUUGUUGUCAGUGAUUUAAUAUUUUUCUUCACCUCAUUGGUUAAUCCAGUAGUACUGGGCUGAGAUCAGGCUGGAACUGCUGAAUCAUUUGGUGUUGAUUUGAGGAUUUAGCAGUUAAAUAGAUUAAAGCCUGGUUCAUAUGGGCACCAUCAAUGUUGUAUAACACUCAUUUCUUUCUGUACUAGACUGCUUCACAGGAUGAAAUCAAAUUCCGUCGAGAAGUUAUAUUAUUUUAUCAAUACAGUUACAUUCUUUGAGCCAACUUGCAAUCUCAUGAAAAGGGAUUGUUUUUUUUAAGACCAUGCUAAGCAAGAUUUCCCUGGUGCUAUGUUAGCUUUCGAGAAUUCUUUACAAAUUAAAUUCUAUAUUAGUAUUUCAGGAUUUCCCCUUGGAAAUUUAAGGAGCUGGUAGUUUCCUGAAGUUGCCACCAUAAGAUGUGACCACUGCUUCUUUCCUGGUUUAAAACUGCAAAAGUUUACCAAGUAAAAAACCCCCCAUAUUCUGAACCAUGAACGGCAGUUUAACAAAUAAUAUAUUGCACUAAAGCUAACUGAUAAGGAAUAUUUGUGUUUGAUCUUGGUAAAUAAUACAGACUUCCUUCUUACUUUCUUUGACUUUAUUGGUCACAGUCUUUUUCAAUGAUACAUUUAUAUUCCUGUAUCAGAGCUCUCCAUUUCCUACCUGCUAGUUUGUAAUCAUUGUUGCAAUGAUUUCAGUGAAGCUACUGCAGUUUAGAGCAGAUGAAGACUGAUCCUAUGUCUCAUCCCAUUGCUAGUCCCAACAUCUGAGGAGUUCAGGCUGUGCACGGGGUAACGAAGAAGCUUUCCCAAUAAAGGCCACCUCUCUGUGGUCACAUCUGUGGCCCAAAUGCUUUGGAAGAACUGGUAACUGCUGCAUUUUGUUAAGGACAUGCAACCAAAAUAAUAAUCGGAUCAACAGAUCCCUUUUUGUCAAAUGAUUAUGGAGCUGCAUUAUGUGAUUUGGCAUGAUUUCCUCCAAAAUCUCUGCAUUUCGAACCAGCUUGUGAUUUUACUCUGCACCAUUAACACCGCUGUAUUACAUGGGAGUAUAUUUGACAUGGCAAAUACUGUGGAAUAUGGAUUAUGUUAUCAGGAAGUAAAUACAAAUUUCUCACGUUGGCCUUGACUCAGUUGGUGGUAAUCAGGGAAUUGUUUGUUCUUAAGCUACAAGGGAGGAUUGGAUUCUUAAAAACUGCACAGGAAAAAAUGCUUUUAGGGUGAUUUCUCUACAAUGAAAACAUGACAGUCUUAAAGCUAAAUGAUAAUCUUUAGGAGUCUGUUCCACGUGAAG